rnacentral:rRNA from 1 species
UACGUAGGGUGCGAGCGUUAAUCGGAAUUACUGGGCGUAAAGCGUGCGCAGGCGGUUUUGUAAGCCAGAUGUGAAAGCCCCGGGCUUAACCUGGGAAUGGCAUUUGGGACUGCAAGGCUUGAGUGCGGCAGAGGAGACGUGGAAUUCCUGGUGUAGCAGUGAAAUGCGUAGAUAUCAGGAGGAAUACCGAUGGCGAAGGCAGGUCUCUGGGCUGACACUGACGCUCAUGCACGAA